ensembl:lncRNA
UACAACAAAGGUGAUUUUAUUGGAUUAACAAGAAAACAUCAAAUAUACACUUCAUUACAGUUCAGUUAAGAUUAAAAGCCACUACAUUAUUUAAAAUAUUUAGUUUCAACAAGGCUUAGUGACUUUAAGUCCAUAAUAUGCACAAAGUGGUCAUUAAACAAAGCAUGCAGUAGAUAUUCAGACAUUUAGAAAAUGGCGGCUAACAUGAAACACAUGCUCUUGAGAAAAACUCCUGAAUGAGAAUCAGUGCCAGCAGAAAAUGCUGUAGUCACUGGCAGGAUCUAAAACUCCUUUGGCGUCAACAGAGUAAACUGAAUUAUAUAAAUAAAAAACAGACAAAUGUGAAAUGUGAAAAACUGGAACUAAAAAAAGAAGAACUGGAGAAUGAGAAAUGAUCACGUGAAUACAGUUGUUUUGUGCUAUCAUAUGUAGAAAAUAUUGACACAUAUUAAUAGUUAUAUUAUAUAAAUAUAGCUAAUGAAUAAUGUUACAUUUAAAUACACUACAGUCUACAUUUAGUAUUUUUUAAAAGACAUUUUCUUUUAAACUCAAACAAAAAUCAAGGGAUAAAUUCAGGUUUAGAAAGCACGGUUAACUCUGACCUAAAAUAAUAAUGAACAAAAAGACUGGCACUGCUCUGACAUCUGCGAGUUAAGUAAAAGUCAGUUAGCUUAGCUUAGCACAAAGACUGGGAGUCUAGCUACACAACACUGCAUAAGAAUCACAAAGUGUUGAUUUUUUUAAUUGGUUAUUUUUUUACAUUAAACAAAUGUAUUAGGUUUAAAGGUGCUCACAGAUUACUUGUGGACAAUCUUAGAAGCUAUUUCCACUAGUUCACAAUGUCAGGCUAAGCUAACAAGCUACUGGUUAAUGCUUCUCUGUUAAAACAGAUGAAAGUGGUGUCAAUCUUUCUUUGUAACUCUCUGGAAAGUGAAUAAGUCUCCAAAAAGUCAAAUCGUUCUUUUGAUUUUUGACCAUAAGAAGAAACGUCAUAGUAUCUGGCUUUUAUUAUGAUGCCACCCAGAGUGCAGAUACCCC